CACACACACACACACACACACACACACACACACACACACACGUUUCCAUAGAGAGAGGUUCCACUUUGCAUUAGCAGCUCAUGCUUCAGCGCUCUGCGAGUGUUUAUAGCCCUGUGACUUUAACACUUCAUGACUGAGAGCUGCUGCUCAGCGACUUCACCCACAGCAACCAUGAGUUUGAUCAGCGUCUUCAUCUGCACACUGGCCCUCUGCGCUCGAGGAUCCAGAGGUCAGGUGACUGUGACUCAGAGUCCUGCAGUGAAACCUGUUUCUCCAGGAGACACACUCACCAUCAGCUGUAAAACCAGCUCUGCUGUUAAUAAUUACUGUGGUGGAAGCUACGACUGUUUGUCCUGGUAUCAGCAGAAAGCUGGAGAAGCUCCUAAACUCCUGAUCUAUUAUGCUAGCACUAGAGAAUCAGGUAUUCCAGAUCGUUUCAGUGGCAGUGGAUCUGGAUCUGAUUUCACUCUGACCAUCAGUGGAGUCCAGACUGAAGAUGCUGGAGAUUAUUACUGUCAGAGUUAUCAUUAUAUCAGUGGUAGCGAUGUGUUCACACAGUGUUAGAGCGUCGUACAAAAACCUGUGUGAGUGUGACUGCUGCAGCUGGGACCUACUGCAGGUGCUGAGGGGGACGAUGUGAUACAGCACAAUCACACACACACACACUCACACACACACACACACACACUGACACACACACACACACACACAAUCACACACACACACACACACAAUCACACACACACACACUCACACACACACACACACACACUGACACACACACACACACACACAAUCACACACACACACACACACACAAUCACACACACACACACACACACACACAAUCACACACACACACACACACACACACACACACACACACAUGUCCACUGCAGGAUAAAUUUGAUGAAGGUGAAUUUACAGUAAGUUUAUAUUAUUGAGCUGGCUUUGCUGAAUCAUACAGCUGUGUAUCAUCAGCCUAGCAGUGGAAGCUAACAGCAUGUUAAUGGAUCAUUUUACCCAGAGGCAGCAUGUACAGGGAAAAGCAGUGGGUGUAGAACAGAGCUGUCUCAGUACUGUGAUGAGGCCUAAAUACUGACUGAGACAUUUCAUGUAUGUGAUAUAUAAUAUAGUUUGUAUAUUAUGUAAGCCAUAGAAAAUCACUAAUUGGAUGUGACAGGUAUAGGUCAAAGGUCAUAAUCAUUAUAAUUAAAUAUAAUGACAGGUCAAAGGGUCAUCAUAAUCAC